GGCCGCUCGAAAACCGCUCGAAUGGGUUGGCGGAGAGGAUUAAACCGAAACAAAAUAUGAUCUUUUGAUGGUUUACGUUCACCCAAGCAAGCCUACCGUUGCACAAAUGGAGUGUUAAAGGUUCGUAGUAUGCGGUGACGAUGAAAUAGCUACGCUGUAAACGAGUUUUCGUGGAUAUUUUAGUGUUUUUUUUCUUUGGACGUCUGUUUGUUGGUCUACAUGGUUUUAACAAGCUAGCACUAGCUUCGAUUCUAGUGAGCUGCUUCGAGCUGAGAUGGUCGUCGCGAGUUUAUGCGGAUGUCUCCGGACCAGUCUAUACUAAACCGACGGCAACAAAUGGGACCAUCCAGCAUCGGCCGUAAACAUCGCGGCGUAGACCAAACUUUAAAGAUUCAAAAAUCUAUUUGAAUUUGUGGAAAUUCAGACAGAGGACUCAGACGGCAGGUGUUUUUCUAGUGUGGGAUUUUAGCCCACUGACAUUCUCCCACAGCCAUGGAAUCGACGGUUGAUGACGAUGCAAUGGCAGCGUGAAUGAAGCUUGGCGUGGGGAGAGCUGAACGAUGCCCAAAGGUGGGGGUUCUAAAACCCCCCAGCUGGACCACUUCCCACUCAACACCGACAUGGUGGAAAAGCAGGGUGGGAAGA